UCCGGGGGGAGCAAGCGUUGUUCGGAAUUACUGGGCGUAAAGGGCGCGUAGGCGGCCAUCUAAGUCAGACGUGAAAUCCCCCGGCUUAACCUGGGAACUGCGUCUGAUACUGGACGGCUUGAGUAUGGGAGAGGGAUGUAGAAUUCCAGGUGUAGCGGUGAAAUGCGUAGAUAUCUGGAGGAAUACCGGUGGCGAAGGCGGCAUCCUGGACCAUUACUGACGCUGAGGCGCGAAAGCUAGGGGAGCAAACGGG
rnacentral:rRNA from 1 species